rnacentral:misc_RNA from 1 species
GUGAAUCAUCGAAUUUUUGAACGCAUAUUGCACUCUCUGGUAUUCCGGAGAGUAUGCCUAUUUGAGGGUCAUUUGAAAUAAUAUAAAUUUCGAUAUUUUAUUGAAAUCAAAAAUGGGUCGGUCCAUUUUUCGUGUGGUGGUCGCCUAAAAUACACGUCAAGCUCAUUUCGUGGGGUGAGUGAUACUUUGGU